AUACGUAGGGGGCGAGCGUUGUCCGGAUUUACUGGGCGUAAAGGGUGAGUAGGCGGUUAUAUGUGUCAGAUGUAAAAGGCUAUGGCUUAACCAUAGUUAGCAUUUGAAACUGUAUGACUUGAGUGCAGGAGAGGUAAGUGGAAUUCCUAGUGUAGCGGUGAAAUGCGUAGAUAUUAGGAGGAACACCAGUGGCGAAGGCGACUUACUGGACUGUAACUGACGCUGAGUCACGAAAGCGUGGGUAGCAAACAGGAUUAGAUACCCUGGUAGUCCACGCUGUAAACGAUGAGUGCUAGGUGUUGGCCAGCGAUGGUCAGUGCCGCAGUAAACACAUUAAGCACUCCGCCUGGGGAGUACGGUCGCAAGACUGAAACUCAAAGGAAUUGACGGGG
rnacentral:rRNA from 1 species